AAUACUUUGUUCUGGGAAGUUCCUUCCUGAAUUGAACAAACUUCUCCAUAGACAACCAAAAUACAUUAAAGUGAUUCCCACACACCCAAGGCAACAAAGAUCAUGGGAAUUUGUCCAUCAAGGUGUACAAAUACUGGAGUCGCCGCAUUCACACAAAGGACCCUCGAACUGCCACUUUUUCCAUCUCCUGCCCACAGGCACAUUAGCCGCAACGGAUGUUGGCCUUUUCAUGCUCAGUUGGGCACAAAGGAGCGAGGUUUUUGCCUCGAAAGGAGGGACUCUUUCUUUUGGGCAAACAAGUGGCCAGUCCAACUGACCGACCAAACAGAAAUGUCAAUAAAUUCAUAUGAAGUUAUCUCUUCCAGACA